rnacentral:rRNA from 1 species
CAGUCGCCGCGGUAAUACAGAGGGUGCAAGCGUUAAUCGGAGUUACUGGGCGUAAAGGGUGCGUAGGCGGCUUGACAAGUCUUGUGUGAAAUCUAUGGGCUCAACCCAUAGUCUGCACGGGAAACUGUCGGGCUUGAGAAUGGGAGAGGUGAGUGGAAUUUCCGGUGUAGCGGUGAAAUGCGUAGAUAUCGGAAGGAACACCUGUGGCGAAAGCGGCUCACUGGACCAUUUCUGACGCUGAUGCACGAAAGCUAGGGGAGCAAACAGGAUUAGAUACCCCCGUAGUCCCUGUCUCUUAUAU